rnacentral:rRNA from 2 species
AAAGUUUCAACAACGGAUCUCUUGGCUCUCGCAUCGAUGAAGAACGCAGCGAAAUGCGAUAAGUAAUGUGAAUUGCAGAAUUCAGUGAAUCAUCGAAUCUUUGAACGCACCUUGCGCUCCUUGGUAUUCCUUGGAGCAUGCCUGUUUGAGUAUCAU